rnacentral:rRNA from 1 species
ACGGGAGGCAGCAGUGGGGAAUAUUGCACAAUGGGGGAAACCCUGAUGCAGCGACGCCGCGUGAGUGAAGAAGUAUUUCGGUAUGUAAAGCUCUAUCAGCAGGGAAGAAAAUGACGGUACCUGACUAAGAAGCCCCGGCUAACUACGUGCCAGCAGCCGCGGUAAUACGCAGGGGGCAAGCGUUAUCCGGAUUUACUGGGUGUAAAGGGAGCGUAGACGGUGAAGCAAGUCAGAAGUGAAAGCUCGGGGCUCAACCCCGGAACUGCUUUUGAAACUGUUUUACUAGAGUGCAGGAGAGGUAAGCGGAAUUCCUAGUGUAGCGGUGAAAUGCGUAGAUAUUAGGAGGAACACCAGUGGCGAAGGCGGCUUACUGGACUGUAACUGACGUUGAGGCUCGAAAGCGUGGGGAGCAAACAGGAUUAGAUACCCUGGUA